UCAUUUGGUGGUGCUGUUGUUCCUAGGA
rnacentral:piRNA from 1 species